AGCCUCGCUCUGUUGCUAUAUAUUAAGUUGCUGCAGUUAAAAGCUCGUAGUUGGAUCUUGGGUGCGGGCGGGCGGUCUCUUUUAGAGUACUACCCUGAAACAUCUUUCUUUGGUGUAAACUCUUUAUUCACUUAAGGAGUGUAAACCAAACAUUUACUUUGAAAAAAUUAGAGUGUUCAAAGCAGGCCUUUGCUCGAAUAUAUUAGCAUGGAAUAAUAGAAUAGGACGUAUGGUUCUAUUUUGUUGGUUUCUAGGACCGUCGUAAUGAUUAAUAGGGACGGUCGGGGGCAUCAGUAUUCAGUUGUCAGAGGUGAAAUUCUUGGAUUUACUGAAGACUAACUACUGCGAAAGCAUUUGCCAAGGACGUUUUCAUUAAUCAAGAACGAAAGUUAGGGGAUCGAAGAUGACAGAAAUACCGUAAAA
rnacentral:rRNA from 1 species